rnacentral:ncRNA from 1 species
UUUCCCUCAGGAUAGCUGGCGCUCUCCAAGAGACUGAAACCCAGGGCCAAAAAAAAACAAAAAAACAAAAAAAAAAAAAAACGAUCUCAACCUAUUCUCAAACUUUAAAUGGGUAAGAAGCCUGGCUUGCUGGUGUGAAGCUGGGCAUGGAGUUUGAGUGCCUAGUGGGCCACUUUUGUUAAGCAGAACUGGCGCUGGGGUAUGAACUG